rnacentral:rRNA from 1 species
UUUGUGCGAUAAAUCAUUCAAGUUUCUGCCCUAUCAGCUUUGGAUGGUAGUGUAUUGGACUACCAUGGCAGUCACGGGUAACGGAGAAUUAGGGUUCGAUUCCGGAGAGGGAGCCUGAGAAACGGCUACCACAUCUACGGAAGGCAGCAGGAGCGAAAAUUGCCCAAUCCCGACACGGGGAGGCAGUGACGAGAAAUAACAACUCUUGGUUAUUCUAAGAAGUGUAAUGAGGAUAAUUUAAAACCCUUACCGAAAGCAAUUGGAGGGCAAGUCUGGUGCCAGCAGCCACGGUAAUUCCAGCUCCAAUAGCGUAUAUUAAAGUUGUUGCAGUUAAAAAGCUCGUAGUUGAAGUUCUGGCUGCUUGACCCUCGAGCUCUGUAGCCGAGGGCUCAGCAGUCAUCCGCUUGCAAAUAUAUGUUCGCCUUUAACCGGGCGGCUAUAUGAGUAAGCAUUUUACCUUGAGAAAAACAGAGUGUUCCAGGCAGGUUUGUCCGGAAUGCAUUAGCAUGGAAUAAUAGAAUAUGACUGAAGUCGAUUUAUUGGUUUGAGGCUUUAGUAAUGAUUAAUAGGAACAGUCGGGGGCAUUGGUACUUGUCAGUCAGAGGUGAAAUUCUAGGAUUUGACAAAGACUAACAAAUGCGAAAGCAUUUGCCAAGGAUGUUUUCAUUAAUCAAGAACGAAAGUUAGGGGAUCAAAGACGAUCAGAUACCGUCCUAGUCUUAACUAUAAACUAUACCGACUCGGAUUCAGAUGAAUCAUAAAGUUCAUUUGGGACCGUAGGAGAAAUCAAAGUUUUUGGGUUCUGGGGGAAGUAUGGUCGCAAGGCUGAAACUUAAAGGAAUUGACGGUUUUGCACCACCAUGGAGUGGAGUCUGCGGCUUAAUUUGACCCAACACUGGGAAACUCAUCAGGGCAAGAAGAUUGUAGGAUUGACAGAUUGAGAGUUCUUUCUUGAUUGGUCUAGAGGUGGUGCAUGGCCGUUCUUAGUUGGUGGAGUGAUUUGUCUGGUUAAUUCCGUUAACGAACGAGACCUUAACCUGCUAACUAGUACACCGAUGACAAAUCGGUGAUACUUCUUAGAGGGACUAUGUGAUGUAAUCACAUGGAAGUUUGAGGCAAUAACAGGUCUGUGAUGCCCUUAGAUGUCCUGAGCUGCACGCGUACUACAAUGGUGCUUUCAUCGAGCUUUUCCUGAUCCGAAAGGAUUUGGGUAAUCUUUUUAGUGAGCACCGUGCUUGGGAUAGAUCUUUGUAAUUAUGGAUCUUGAACUAGGAAUUCCUAGUAAGCACGUGUCAUCAGCA